UAUUCUGCCCCACGGGGAAGGAUGAGAAGCUUCGACUAAGGUUCGACUUGAGCGAAGCGAGAGAACGUUGCCGCAGGCAACGGCCCGAAGGCGAGGCGCUUUAGCGCCGAGUAAUCCUUCCCCCACCACUG
rnacentral:sRNA from 2 species